rnacentral:rRNA from 1 species
UACGUAGGGGGCAAGCGUUGUCCGGAAUUAUUGGGCGUAAAGCGUGCGCAGGCGGUUCUAUAAGACAGUUGUGAAAUCCCCGGGCUCAACCUGGGAACUGCAUUUGUGACUGUAGAGCUGGAGUGCGGCAGAGGGGGAUGGAAUUCCGCGUGUAGCAGUGAAAUGCGUAGAUAUGCGGAGGAACACCGAUGGCGAAGGCAAUCCCCUGGGCCUGCACUGACGCUCAUGCACGAAAGCGUGGGGAGCAAACAGG